rnacentral:rRNA from 1 species
CUUGCUAAGUUUGAUGGCGACCGGCGCACGGGUGGGUAACACGUAUCCAACCUGCCGAUGACUCGGGGAUAGCCUUUCGAAAGAAAGAUUAAUACCCGAUGGCAUAGUUCUUCCGCAUGGUAGAACUAUUAAAGAAUUUCGGUCAUCGAUGGGGAUGCGUUCCAUUAGGUUGUUGGCGGGGUAACGGCCCACCAAGCCUUCGAUGGAUAGGGGUUCUGAGAGGAAGGUCCCCCACAUUGGAACUGAGACACGGUCCAAACUCCUACGGGAGGCAGCAUG